rnacentral:rRNA from 1 species
AUUGAACGCUGGCGGCAUGCUUUACACAUGCAAGUCGAACGGUAACAGGCCGCAAGGUGCUGACGAGUGGCGAACGGGUGAGUAAUGCAUCGGAACGUGCCCAGCCGUGGGGGAUAACUACUCGAAAGAGUAGCUAAUACCGCAUACGAUCUAUGGAUGAAGGCGGGGGACCGGAAGGCCUCGCGCGAUUGGAGCGGCCGAUGUCAGAUUAGGUGGUUGGUGGGGUAAAGGCUCACCAAGCCAACGGUCUGUAGCUGGUCUGAGAGGACGACCAGCCACACUGGGACUGAGACACGGCCCAGACUCCUACGGGAGGCAGCAGUGGGGAAUUUUGGACAGUGGGCGCAAGCCUGAUCCAGCAAUGCCGCGUGCAGGAAGAAGGCCUUCGGGUUGUAAACUGCUUUUGUACGGAACGAAACGGCUCUGGUUAAUACCCGGGGCUAAUGACGGUACCGUAAGAAUAAGCACCGGCUAACUACGUG